GACGAACGCUGGCGGCGUGCUUAACACAUGCAAGUCGAACGGAAAGGCCCUGCUUUUGUGGGGUGCUCGAGUGGCGAACGGGUGAGUAACACGUGAGUAACCUGCCCUUGACUUUGGGAUAACUUCAGGAAACUGGGGCUAAUACCGGAUAGGAGCUCCUGCUGCAUGGUGGGGGUUGGAAAGUUUCGGCGGUUGGGGAUGGACUCGCGGCUUAUCCGCUUGUUGGUGGGGUAGUGGCUUACCAAGGCUUUGACGGGUAGCCGGCCUGAGAGGGUGACCGGCCACAUUGGGACUGAGGUACGGCGCAGACGCCUACGGGAGGCAGCAGUGGGGAGUAUUGCGCAAUGGGCGGAAGCCUGUUGCAGCAACGCCGCGUGCGGGAUGACGGGCUUCGGGUUGUAAACCGCUUUCGCCGGUAACGAAGCGUGAGUGACGGUAAUGGGUAAAGAAGCACCGGCUAACUACGUG
rnacentral:rRNA from 1 species